UUCGGGUCGUAAACUCCUUUCGAUCGGGACGAAUCGGUCGCGACCUAACACGUCGCGGCACUGACGGUACCGAGAGAAGAAGCCCCGGCUAACUCCGUGCCAGCAGCCGCGGUAAUACGGGGGGGGCAAGCGUUGUUCGGAAUUACUGGGCGUAAAGGGCGCGUAGGCGGCCUGCUUAGUCGGACGUGAAAUCCCGAGGCUCAACCUCGGGCCUGCAGUGGGUACGGGCAGACUGGAGUGCGGUAGGGGAGAAUGGAAUUCCUGGUGUAGCGGUGGAAUGCGCAGAUAUCAGGAGGAACACCGAUGGCGAAGGCAGUUCUCUGGGCCGUAACUGACGCUGAGGAGCGAAAGCGUGGGGAGCGAACAGGAUUAGAUACCCUGGUAGUCCACGCCGUAAACGUUGGGCGCUAGAUGUGGGGACCUUUCCACGGUUUCCGUGUCGUAGCUAACGCAUUAAGCGCCCCGCCUGGGGAGUACGGCCGCAAGGCUAAAACUCAAAGGAAUUGACGGGGGCCCGCACAAGCGGCGGAGCAUGCGGAUUAAUUCGAUGCAACGCGAAGAACCUUACCAAGGCUUGACAUAACCGAGAACGCCCUAGAAAUAGGGAACUCUUUGGACACUCGGUUACAGGUGGUGCAUGGUUGUCGUCAGCUCGUGUCGUGAGAUGUUGGGUUAAAUCCCGCAACGAGCGCAACCCUC
rnacentral:rRNA from 1 species